rnacentral:rRNA from 1 species
UACGAAGGGGCUAGCGUUGCUCGGAAUCACUGGGCGUAAAGGGUGCGUAGGCGGGUUUUAAGUCAGAGGUGAAAUCCUGGAGCUCAACUCCAGAACUGCCUUUGAUACUGAAAGUCUUGAGUAUGGGAGAGGUGAGUGAACUGCGAGUGUAGAGGUGAAAUUCGUAGAUAUUCGCAAGAACACCAGUGGCGAAGGCGGCUCACUGGCCCAUUACUGACGCUGAGGCACGAAAGCGUGGGAGCAAACAGGG